AUGGCCCUACUAUUGGGUUUUCAGUGGGCUGAGCAAGGCCUGGUUGUGGGGGCCCUGAUGGGGUUCAGGGCCAGGGCCUGUCCUAUGGUCCUGGGGGUGUCCAGGGAAGAUGAAAGAACAGGGGUUCAGCAUCCCUGCUCAAAGCUGCACUGUGGACACCAUGAACCCCAGAUGUCCAGGUCCAUGGGGAGAUUGGGAGAGAAUUUCAACACAGAACUCACCAAAAAUCCCAUGGUCUCUCCUGAGAUAGGAACAGACUUGCCACAUCUUGAGCCACUGGGCCCCCAGAGAGUGACCUGCUGUCCUGGGCUCUACGGAAUUCUCAUGCUGCUGGGCCUUGGCCUCAGGAAUUUUACAGUUUCUGAUUAAAUACCAAUGGGAUAUCACCUCCCAUUUGUUAGGAUGGCCGUUAUAAAAAGGACAAGAGAUAACAAGUGUUGGUGACGGUGUGAAGAGAAGGGUACCUUUGUACACUGCUGGUUAGAAUGUAAGUUAGUACAGCCAUUAUGGAAAACAGUAUGAAAGUUCCUGAGAAUCUAAAAAUAGAACUCCCAUAUGGCUCAGCAAUCCCUCCUAUAAAUUAUAUAUCAACAGGAAAUGAAAUCAGCAUCUGAUAGAGAUAUCUUCACUCUCCUCUUCUCCGUGCCCCACCACAGCAUUGCUCCCAACAGCCAAGCCAUGGGAUGAAGUUACUCUGCAUUGAUGGAUGAGUGGAGAAAAAAAAAUGUGGGGGAGGUGUUUGUGCAUGUGUGUGUGUAUAAUAUAUAAUAAUAGAAUAUUUUUCAGCUUUUAAAAAGUUGAAGAUACUGCCAUUUGUGAUAACAUAAAUGAACCUGGAGGAUAUUAAGCUAAGUGAAAUAGCUUAGGGAGAGAGAAAAAUACUGCAUAAUUUCUGUUACAUAUGAAAUCUUUAAAAAGGUUAAACACAUGAUAGAAUGAUGACUUGGGAGAGAAGAGACACAAGUCAACGUUUCAGUUAUAUAAAAUAAAUGAAUCUGGAGGACUAAAGUACAAUUUAAAGGUUAUAGUUGCUAUUUUUAUAUUAUAUACUAGUGAUUUUUGAACAGGGUAAACUUUAGGUGCUUUGACACCAAAAGGAAACUACAUGAGUUCAUGUAUAUGUUAAAUUGUUUGACCGCAGUCAUCAUUGAUAUGUAUAUGCAUAUAUAUAAUUAUGGGCUCAUUAAAUUUAAAUGCUAU
ensembl:lncRNA